rnacentral:rRNA from 1 species
GAUGAACGCUGGCGGCGUGCCUAAUACAUGCAAGUCGAGCGAACAGAUGAGGAGCUUGCUCCUCUGACGUUAGCGGCGGACGGGUGAGUAACACGUGGAUAACCUACCUAUAAGACUGGGAUAACUUCGGGAAACCGGAGCUAAUACCGGAUAAUAUAUUGAACCGCAUGGUUCAAUAGUGAAAGACGGUUUUGCUGUCACUUAUAGAUGGAUCCGCGCCGCAUUAGCUAGUUGGUAAGGUAACGGCUUACCAAGGCAACGAUGCGUAGCCGACCUGAGAGGGGGAGCGGCCACAGGGAAAGGGAGACAGGGCACAGACCUAAAGGGGGGGCAGGAGGAGGAAAUCUGGCGAAAGGGGCGAAAGCGGCACAGAGCAGCGCCGCGUGAGUGAUGAGGGUUCGGGGAGUGAAAAACUGUGAUAAGGGAAGAAAAAAAAUGUGUAAAUAACUAUGCGUGUUGACGGUACACAAAAACAGAGAGCCGGGUAAAACCGUG